CCGGGGCUGCCGGGGAAUGCCUGCCACGUAGUGCAGCUGAGGAAGCCCAGCAUUAAUCUGGCAGCGCACUCCUCUGUUUACUUUUGCUCCACUCAGGCACAGCUAUUCAUUUCCUGGGACACGGGAGGCCGUGCACAGAUGCUGACUAGGCGGACUCCCAGCAACGGAGCCACGGCACAGCAAUUCAGCACCAAGUGCAGCUACACAAUCCCUUUAAUCUCGGCUAAAGAUUUUUCCUGGCUUCCUUUAAUAAACCCUGAUUACCAUGGAUAGAAGCUUUUCUUUGGGAACUGACACGGAGAGAAAACUCAUAUGGAGACAUUGUCGACAACUCCCUCAACAAAGGCCAGCUUCUAACUUCGGCUAAAGCCCUUCUCCCUGAACUUACAACCUGUCCCAUGCCUGACGGAAAAUGAAGGCAAGUCUCUCCCUGAGGACAUCCCAAUUCAGAGCAUCUUCUCUUUGGAGCUCGCCACAAUGAACAGACUCCAGUGAAAGCUGCAGCUUGUCCCAAACAGAGAGAUUUAUUUCAGCAGCGGGUUGUUUGCAAGACACUUAAGCUUCAGCGAAACAGAGCAGCUUAGACCCAUCACAGAUCAUUUUAUUCAAGCACUCAGAUGGUGCCCAUCAUCUUGGUACCUGCUCAUCCUCCAGAAGCACAUUAAGUGAUGGGAUUAACAUUUUUCAUGACUGGGACUUCUCUUCCUUCCUUCCUGGUUCCCUGUAUGAGAAAACUGCAUGCAGGUAUUUUUCCUCUCUGCAUUUCCGACUGAGUUAUCUGGUUCUUCUCACAGCAAAAGCAGGUCAGAGCAGUGCUCCUUUCUGCUUGGAAGGGAGAGGAGAGAGGCUUGUAACGGUUUCUGAGGUCCUCCAAGAAUUUACUCCACAGAGACUCGAGUGAAAAUCAAAUAUUCACUGCCACAAAAACAAGAAUGGAGUUUUGAGUGGUCACGGAAAUAACCAGACCGGGGUUAAAUUCUCUUUUCUGGAGCAGACUCCACAUGUGUCAUCAUGGGACAAGCAUCCGACGCACUCUGAAGCAUCAACUGCUGGCCAUAGAUGGAGCCAAUGGAAAGCGCUGAUGCAGCAAAUCCCUAGCCUUCAUCUUCCUGUGAGAGGGGCUAAAGAGAGCAAACUAGUGAGUACAGUUCCAGGUUUGCAAGUACAUCCCAUGCAGGGGGUGGCUGGACCAUCUCAAAACUUACCCCGAGCUUGAAUCCACAACAUACAUUAUCACGAGCGACAGUGAAUCGUGCUGACUGGUAUUUGUUCGUCUAAACCUAAAGGAAAACGUCAGUGUCAGAGAAGUUUACUGCAAUUAUUAGCAAUAUUUUUAUGGUGACGGCUGUACUGGAGAUUAGGAAGAAAAAAAUAGGCAUUUUUUUGUUUCAUUUAGUCUGCACAUACUAAUUCUGUCCAAGGCUAGGGACUGAGUGCAUAAAUGCUUGUGGAUGGGUCUUUGUGCACCCAUGAACCCCGCCAGGCCCUCACAUGCCAUUUCUUUUAUCACUCCACCUUUUACGCGCUAGGUCUUUCACCAACCGGGUGCUGUCUUCCAGCCCCUAAGCAGUUCAGAUGUGGGACGGUUAUUUCUUUGUGUUACCCAGGAUAAUUAGGUCUCUUUCUUGUUAGCAUGUCACUUGCAAGUGUUAAGUAGAAGUAGUCUGUUUCUACUGUUUAUAUGACUCUGCGGUCUUGAAAAAAAGGUCUUUAAAAGAUCUCAAAAUGCUGUCUCAUCCAUAGUUCUGCCCCAAAGUACACCAGAUCCAAAUUCCAGGCAUCUUCUGCAGAUAUAGGAUUGCUCCAAAGAGAGAAAUUUUCUGCACAUAUGAAAAAAUAUAACGCAAUAUUUUGAACAAUAUCGAUCUACUGCAUGUUUUACUUGUCCACGGAGACCUUUCCCUUGCAAAUAUAAUAAAAACUACCUUAAAAUCAGGUAUAAAAUUUAACUAAACUAGCUUAAAAGAACUUUUUGUCAAGUUCUAAAUAAAGCAAGGCUCGCUGCAGCUGCUGUGUUCAGAGAGAAUAUCCCUGUGAGUAAACCAAGAUAGACCAAAUGAGAGGUGUCUUCUUCAGAGGACUCCUCCUUAGAGUUCUUUGGCUAAAAUCCCCACUUGACUUGGAGUUUUUGACAGUGAGGCUGAAGGACGGCUCAGAUGCCGUCCAAUCCAAAAGGAGAACAAGGCAGCAGGACUUUGAUGGAGAGUGCAAUGCAUGCCCUAGCAGAGGCAUCCUGCUGAGAAACAAUUUCAAGCCCAGCAGCGGCAAGGGGGAUUGAUGCUACUCGUUCUGCUGAUAGCCAUAACGCCUCAGUGUGGACACAACCCUGAUAAGCAAGGGCUUUGCCAGCAUUUCCGUCAGUACCACCAAAAAAAUACAUAAAUAAAUCAUUACAAAUUUGCUACUAAUUUGCUCUUCUAGUGACUUUGUCACCCCAAGGCAAAGGACAAGCCUAGCUAUCUGCCAAUCCAUACAAAGGCCAAUGAGAAGUUAUUCUUAGAGACCUGCCUGGCUGUUGCUGUAGAAUAACUAGCUCCAAAUCAUACUUGACAGUCUCAAGAUACUGCUGAGCCAGACAGGCCAGAUAUGGCUAGGGUCAGAUAGAGACAAGAGGCAGAGUCGUGCUAGUGCAGGGAAAAGAUAAUCACAUGCUAUACUUGUUAACAGAAAGAUUAUGAGAGAGCUGAUAUGUUGUAUACACGUAUACUGGCUGCAUUUGCAAGGAGAUGCACAAAUCUACCCUGCACGUCCUACAGACAGGGUUUUUUUCUUUUUUUCCCCAUGGAAUUGUGCAAUGCCUGUACACUCUGUGCAGGCCAGAGUGUGCAUGCGUAAUUGCGCAGGGCAGUAAUAGCAACACCUAUAGCUCAGGUUGCCUGACAUGUUCUAUUCUAAGACUGGGUUUUAAGGUCCUCAUUACUUUGACAAACCUUAACUACUCAGGAGACAAUUUCCCCAACUCAGUGUCUGCCUCAGGCUAAUAUCUCUGUAAAAAGUUGCAUUCAGAAUGGCUUGGGCCAUUCUGAGAACUAAAUUAGGAGAAAAAAAGUUUUUGCGGGUUCUUAAUUUUUCCUAUAUUUGACCUUGCUAGUAUUCUUUCCUCCAUCUCACUGGAAAGCUUCCGUGCUUUGGAGCAGGCAUUAAAAAUUGAGAGGGUUCUCUACUGCUGUCAUGGUGAUCUUUCCCCAUGGAGAGACUUUUGGAAAGUCUAUCCAAAUUUCACCAAGUUACAGCUUCUAAUAAUCACAUUCUGUACAUGGCAUGUAAAGGCUUUGCAUUUUCCAGUCCUCCCAGGAUAGAUUAAACAGUGCUUGAGCUAUUGCCACAGAGACAGUUUGGGAAAGGAGAUAUGGGCAGAGACUGGGACAUGUGGAGAGAUCUCAGGACCAAAACAUCCUCUCCUCCCGAGUGAGGCAUGGAUCCCACGACUCCAGAGUUUUCGAAUGCCCCUAAGAUGAGUCUCCACCAGCUGCUAACACAUCUGGAGGACAAGUCAGUCCCAUUAAAUUAAAAUUCUGGGGCGAAGUUCCAGUGCUGUCUUUCCCAAGGUCUUGGAAAAUAUGUAUCAACAUGAAAAGUGCAGCUACAGAAAGAAAAAGAGAAAAAGAAAAAAAGAGAGAAUAUAAUUGCUUAACUAUAUAGAGCGACAGAUGAUAUUCCGUAACUUCAAACUAUGGCUGCCUAGGCAAUGUUAUCCAACAUAUUCCCAACCCUUCUAUAUGCAGAAGGUCUUCUUGAACAAAGGACAAUACUAUGCCUUCCUAAUUCCUUCUCAAGAACAAUAUUUAACGCCAAGCCUAGAGCUAGUUAUCCAUUUAUAAGACAACAGAAUCAGAAGCAACAGCCCUCAUUUAGGGAGUAUAUGUGUAUAUAGAUUAAAACCAUAUACACGACUUGGGAGGCUUACAUGGCACAGAGCCUGAUAAUAUGAUGCCACUGUUAUUUCGCUGUCCUGCUGCAAUUCACACCAGCACAUCACACCUCGUCCUGAAGCAUCCAUCCAGCUCCUCCCCAGUAAAAUAGCACAGCUGCUGCUCGCAAGGGCAACCAGAAGCUCUAGUCAAAACUCUCAUGCUAAGAGCCAAUCCCCACCUCCAGAAGGUUUCAGGCUAGAAACACCCCGAGGAGACAGAGGCUCAGAGAGGUGAAGAGCCUUGGCCAAGGACCCACAGAGUCAGCGUGGCAGAGCCACAAAUACAGCCCACGCACUUGAUCCUCAGCACAGGGCCACAGUGACAAGACUAGGUAUUCUGCAGAGCCGAGCACACAGCACCAGGAGAACCUCCUCUACAGCUGAUGUUCAUUAUUAAAGUCUCCUUCAGUGCGUGCUUUAGGAGUACACACAUCCCCUCACGGCUCCAGAGCUGUAAAUUCCCAUCGGUCUUAACUCAUCCACUCCAUGAGCACUUGCCAGCAUCAGCAGAAUAGGUGCAUUAUACACUCGAGUUUCAUUGUUGGAGCUACUUUAGAUAGUUCAGUGGUCACGUAUUCAGCCAUGCAUCUGCAUGGAAGCAUUCAGGGCAUCCCAAAAUGGUAUGGCACAGAGUCCUGCUGCUGACACCCAGUGCAGGGCCAGCGGUGCGGGGAGAAAGGGAGGACCCAUCUCCUCCAACUCCUCUGCUACUAAAGCUUUCUGCAAUUUAAAUGUGCAGUUCCCCACACAAACAAACACUGAAAGGAGACGCUUUCAGGUUGCCAUCAACAACGGCACUUCCUAGACAGCUUGCAAGCACAUCUGUAAAACGCAAAUUCUCUCUUAUUCCUUUCAUAAACAUCUUCCCUAGGCCAGACGGUCCGACAUGAAUGGAAGCUGCAGGUGCACUGCACUUUGCAGGAUCUGACCCUUUGCUUGCACAAACAAAUGCCUGGUCCUAUCAACAAAUCAUCCUAGAGCAGCCACAAGGAGAGUGAUGCAAUUGUUUUAGCUAUUUGCACAGCCUCAUAAUUGCAGAUCCAUCACCACAAGGCAUUAGCUGUGUUAGGAUAGGUGUUGCAGAGAAAACCCAGCACCAGAAACAGGCGUAUGAACCCUUUCAGUCUACAAAAGAACGAAUAUUUUAUGGGUUUGCAAUAACCUGUGGUUUCAGAUCUGGGUCAUACUACCCAGAAGAAAGUUGCUUAUUUGCUCAGAGUCAGCUGCAAGCAAAAUGUCACCCCAAACUCUAAUUUAAUCCAGAUCCAAACACCAUCUGCUUUGUUCAUCUCUGCUCACACGCAGUCAAAAGGCACCUGUGUCUGAGGCGAGGGGCAUUUUAAACGUGGGGGCGUGGGAAGGUCAUCUCUGUUCAUGAAGUGCUACUCAUUUAGAAAUGGGAGCCUUGAUAGCACAGGAUGCAAGACCUGAAUGCCACAAAGCAGACGCACAAAUGCUGAAAGGCUAAGAUCCACAGGGGACUGUUUUCCGCACGCCCUUUGCUCCCCGUGGGCCACUGCAGCAGGCAAGCCUGCACCUUUUUUUCUCCUGCUACCCCCUCUCUGCUCAUCCCGUUCCCCAAAACGGGGUUUGUCCCUCUCUUCCCUCACCCUGCCGGAUUCAACAGCUGCAAUUUGGAAAGCCCUCCAGAGCACUGGAGACUCCCUAAAUACCGUAAGAAGCAUGCAAACCCAUGCACAUACACCACUGCCUUUUUGGGAUGCCAUCAGAACCGCUUCAGCCUGAAUCAGAAGCUCGUGGCAAGCGUCAUCUGUGCUCCUGCCCCGGGGGCCUCGGAUAAAGGGGCUGCAGCAUGCGACGCGUUGCCGCAGCCCCCGGCUCCUGCACGGCUGGGACGCAGAGCCUGGGGCUGGCUGCAGAGGCUUGGGUGGCUGCAGACGGAUUUGAAUAACGUGAGCCAAGUGCUCAAACGGGAGGAAGGGCUGAGAUUCGCCUUAGCUUCAGUAGUGAGAGCCUGCAAAUCUUCUGUUCCGGCUGCAAGCUGCUGCGAAAAAGUGGAGGGCAGAGGAAGGGAAAUGCGGUCUGCAUCGCUGGUGCCGUGGAUCUGAACCGGACACUACUGGGUUUACGGGAAUAGAUUUGGGGAGCACAUCCAGGUGCCGCUUUUGGGCUUAUUUAUUUUUUAACCUCAUGAAAUAAAAGCAUAGCAGUGAGUAGAGAGAGGAACUUCUUUGAAGAACAACAUGCCCAUCUAGCAUCCCCCUUUGCCCAACUAACCCCACCUUAGGCCAACACGUCAACACUCAGGAUACGUAGGGGAUGCCAAGCAGACCAAAUCACCAGUCCAGCCAGGCCAGUGUUGGCCGUGGCUCAAUGUUAUGGGCCCAUCAAACUCAGACCUGUUCUCUAUCACUUCAGUAAGCAGGAAAUCCUCAUCUGAAAGGAGCCUGCGGCACACAGCUGUGGCCCUGCCGAGCACCAAAGGGCUGGGAGAAAAACCUUAACGGCGUACGCAGGUGUAAAACCGUGAUCUCAAUUCAGUGUGUUAUUAAGAACGAGACAUUUCUCCUCUGCCGCCAUCUGCAUCCCGCACACCCCAACAAAUCCAGCACUUUCCCCUUUCAGCUAUAGCGCUCUCUCUCAUUUGGUGUAGAAAACCCCCUCUCUUCUUUACCUUCAAAUCACACUGCAAGGUAGCACUCAACAGGCUGUUUCUCUGGUGCAAUCAAUGCAGACUAACAUUAUGCCAAAAACCAUGACCUCAGAACAGAGAUUGUUCUACCAAGGUGCCAGAAAUAAUACAAAUAAACUCUUCUUCUCUCCUUUACUUUAUAUCUACAGCUCCCACACAUUACUACCAGUGGGGCUUUAAAACUAAAACAGACGGGGCCUACGUGGCUUGAAUUUAUUCUGGAAAUUUAUCUCUUCUGUUGAAAGCUCUAUGUUUGCUUGAUCUUCCUGCCUUCCAAGUCCUACAAGUGCCACAUGUUGCCCAGCUGGAUUCCUGACAGAGAAAGGAAACAGGAGGGAAGAGAGAAUAGAUUAAAAUAUAUACACACAUACAUACAUAUAUAUAUUUAUAUAGAUAUAUGUGAACGCAAUGGCCAAAGUUUUCGAAAGUUGUGAAUGUACUUGAGCAAAGUAGCUUCAGAUAACUCCAAGGAACCUAUGUUCAGGAAACACAGAGCUCUUGAGCUUCCAAAAAUCAGAUCUCUGCAGAUAGGAGGAGAGAGGAAAUUGAAAUGGAUUCUGCGUAGCUCUCCAAAGGACUUGCUACUCCAAACAUCCUUAAGAACAGCUCUUGCAGGAAAAGAUACGCAGAAAAAGCCAUAUUGGUGAAGGCUGAAGACAGGACAGCCAGAGAAUUAAGGGAUAGAUCUGUGUGGUAGUAAGGGAAACACUGACUACUUUUAAUUAUCAGACUCGCUGGACUGCGAAUAUUAAAACAAUAUUGUGUUUGUUCAGCUCCCCGAGAAUUUGUGCACCCUCAUUAGCCUUAACGGAGAAAUACCCUCAGGCCUCAGGACAGCUGAUGGGCACACCCGGAUAUCAGCAGCAAUGUCCAUUUUCAGUGUGCCAAUCAAACUGAAAAGCAAGAAAAGCUAAGGGGAAUAAAGCCUGCUCGUCUGAACCAGCUUUAAAAACAAAUAAACAAGAAAAAAAUCCGCUGAAGGAGAAAAUUAAAAAAGUGUUAUUUCCUGUGAAAUGAAGUAUUGUGCUCCUUCUGUAAUAGGCUUGUGGAGAAAAAAAACUAAAAAAAAAAACACACAAAAAUAAAGCAAACAAUUCAUUUCAUAAAUAUGGGAGAAGGUCAGCUUUCUUCUCACCAAUAACUCAGUCUCAUAGGAGCAGAGCAUGGCUUUUGAUACAAGAUAGAUAUUUGACUCUUUCCUUUGCCUAGAAAGGCUCAAACCCACAUCUUCCACCCCUAAGGUCUCACCUAGCACAUAACAGCAUCAGCACAGACCACAUGAGGUCUCUUCUGCCGCCUGCCCACCUCUGCAAGGCGCUGGGAUACCCAGCUGAGUGUGGUCGUCCCAGCAGAUGGACACCUCCAUCCCUACCUCUAAGACAGUGAACCUUCGCUCAGGGGCUCUCUUUUCCCAGAUGUUCCCGUGAGCAAUGCUUCGCUGUAUCAUCAUCACGACACACUCUUGGGCGAUGAAAGAAGCAGGUUCACAUCCUCCCAGAGAUCAAACCUCACCAGAUUUCUUCACUGCUGAGCUAUGGGUUGAAGAGCAUGAGAUACCCCUGACUCUGCUCUCUCACCUUGCGCUGGAGCUUCAAUAAGCUCCUUGGAAAGCUCAGGCUGUCUUGAGCCUGCAGCUAGCAGAAGUCUCUUCUGCUGAUAAGAAUUCUUAUUCCCUGAAGGAAGAUCUCCUUUUCAUCUGCCCCAUCUUCACUUCAUGCUCAUUUUUUCCACAGUCUUAUUAAAAAGGCUGUACAAAGCCUGUAUCAGCAAAAUGCCUACAUAAAAAGGAAAGUUUUCUUACAGUUCUGGGUCCCUAGGCACCGCAACAUGGGAAACUCCAGGGUGUGAGUGUCCUAGACGGACACCCCACAGAAAUAAGUGACAUGCCUGCAAAAGCCAAAUUAAAACCAGAGGAGUUACUCAAACCGUUUGAGGGACUGACCUUCGCAGAGACAAGUUCCAGGCACACAACAUAUUACAGUCUAAAAUCUGCUCCCUCUUAACACUGAACUCGAAAAAGGAUGGAUUUUUCCAUGUUUGAGAGCAGGCAGUUGCAAUAACCUUCUGCCUCAGCCCGGCAACAACGAGACCUUGGAAGAGGCUAAUUAUGGGUGGCAAAGUAAGUCACCAACUAGCAGAGAGCGGCAGAGAAGAGACAGGCGAACACA